UACGAAGGGAGCUAGCGUUGUUCGGAAUCACUGGGCGUAAAGCGCACGUAGGCGGACGUGUAAGUCAGGGGUGAAAUCCCGGAGCUCAACUUCGGAACUGCCUUUGAUACAGCACGUCUUGAGUCCGGAAGAGGUGGGUGGAAUUCCUAGUGUAGAGGUGAAAUUCGUAGAUAUUGGGAAGAACACCGGUGGCGAAGGCGGCGCUCUGGACCGAGACUGACGCUGAGGCGCGAAAGCGUGGGGAGCAAACAGG
rnacentral:rRNA from 1 species